CCCUGCCUGCCAGAUUCAUAGAAGAUGUGAAAAACCAGGAGGCCAGAGAAGGGGCCACGGUCGUGCUGCAAUGUGAGCUGAGCAAGGCGGCCCCCGUGGAGUGGAGGAAGGGGUCUGAGACCCUCAGAGGUGGGGACAGAUACAGCCUGAGGCAGGACGGGACCAGAUGUGAGCUGCAGAUUCGUGGCCUGUCCGUGGCAGACACUGGAGAGUACUCGUGUGUGUGCGGGCAGGAGAGGACCUCGGCCACACUCACCGUCAGGGGUAAAGACCACAUGUAGCCACCUGAGUGAUUCCUGUCUCCUCCCACCUAACCCACAUGAUCUGUGCUCUCCCAGUGCCUCUUGAUGUCAUUGCCAUCU
rnacentral:sRNA from 1 species